rnacentral:lncRNA from 1 species
CAUUUAAAAACGGGCCUAAAACGCAAAACUAGUCGAAAACCGGGUGAAAAAGAGCUUCCUGCGAGGCCUCUCGGUCCUAGGCCGAGGUUCUGUCCGAAGGGACCUUCGGUUCUUGAGAGGGUUCGGUCUGAGAAGGUGCAUUUCGCUUCUGAUGUCAUCGCUUUUGAUGCCUCCGCUUCUGACAUGUUCUUCUUCUGACAAGUUCGCUUCUGAUUGCUUCGCUUCUGACAAGUUUGCUUCNGACAAGUUAGGUUCCUAAGAGGGGUUUCGGGUCCUUAAGAGGGUUCGGCUCCUUAAGAAGGGUUUCGGGUCCUUAAGUCUAUUUUAUCCGUUUUUACCCCGUUUUAAGCGGUUUUUGACCUGGUUAUUGGUCGGGAUGGACCAAAAGACUACAAAAAGUUUAAGGAACUUUUUUAAGAGAUUUGGGAGAGAUUUCACAUUCUUGGAGAGAUUUGGGAGAGAUUUGACAUACUUGGAGAGAUUUUUCAUACAAAGAGAGAUUUGGGAGAGAUUUCACAUACAAAGAGACAUUUGGGAGAGAUUUCACAUUCUUGGAGAGAUUUCUCAUACAAACAGAGAUUUGGGAGAGAUUUGACAUUCUUGGAGAGAUUUCUCAUACAAAGAGAGAUUUGGAAGAGAUUUGACAUUCUUGGAGAGAUUUCUCAUACAAAGAGAGAUUUGGGAGAGAUUUGACAUUCUUGGAGAGAUUUAGGAGAGAUUUGAGAUACUUGGAGUGAUUUCUCAUACUUAGAGAGAUUUGGGAGAGAUUUCUCAUACUUAGAGAGAUUUGGGAGAGAUUCUAGAUAAAGAGAGAUAGAGUGAAAACGAUUGAGAGAGGUUUCAUGUGUGACAUUUGUGAGUGUUUGGCUCCGCAACGCAAGGUCCGUAAGCCUCGUUAAGCCAUGUUCAAGGACCUUACACACUCCCGAUGCGUAUUCAAUAUUGUUUUAUCGGUUUGGUUCAUACUUAUCGCAUUUUUAGAUUAAUGAAUUCUAGAUAUACGAACUUUUCAAUUGAUGAUUUCUCAUUAGCAUAACGAGUUGUAUAGAAAUAACACAGAGUAUACCCUAGUACACAAGGGUUAAUUAUGUCGAUCGGUUUGACUUGUUUACUUUAGUUGACUUUGACUUGACUGGAAUUUGACGGUUGUCACAUCAUCCCCCCGUUAGAGGGAAUUUCAUCUCGAAAUAGCACUUUGACCGGGACUUCAUGAAUUUGGAGAAUAGAUGGGGAAAGCUUUUCCUAGUACAAGAAAUUGGUAUGGCGGGGACCAAUCCGCCCGGUGUUAAAUGACGCCUUGGAAUUUCUUAUUGUAACUUGAGCUAAGUCAAAUUAAAGGAGUUAUUGUUUUGAAAAGAUAGUGUAUUCUAUGUGUGCCUUUAUGCUCCCCGCUACAAAGUGGAGACUCUCGUUCAUUUCGAUGUCGCCAAGUGGUAAGUGAGCUAUUAACAUGUCGCCCAUGUUUUGAACAAUCCCUUUUUGUUCUGCCUGUUUGUUUGCUGUUUGUAGGCCAUGCUCAAGUCUAACCUAGUUCCCUGCAAGGAUCGCUAGGGUCGCAUAAUCUCUUUGAUGUAUGUUCUAUUCGAUUCCUAUAUCCUGUCGGUUUCUUUGAUUAGUAGGGAGUGUGAGGAUUUGGCUAGUCUGUCAACGGUUAUCCAAAUGGUAUCGUGACCAUCCAUUUCCUUUGGUUAGCUUGGCUAUGAAGCCCAUGGUUAGCCGCUCCCAUUUCCUUUCAGGUGUCACUGGUUGUCGUAGGAGACGUGAAGGCUUCCUUUUUUCUCUCUUGACAUUGGCACAAGUCUGAUACUUGCCCACAUGUGUAGCAAUAUCUGCUUUCCUAUUUUCCCACUGAUGGCACUUUUUGAGGUCCGGACACAUCUUUUCCGAGCCUGGAUGAAGGGGAGUAGCGAGUUUUUCGUGUGCUUCGUUUGUGAUAUUAUCUAUGAAUCCAUCAACCUUGGUGUCCAGAUCCGGUUCAUGAUAUAACAUGCUCCGCUGUCUGUGCCUUCUAGGUUCUUAUGAUUGGUGAAGAUUGUAUGCUUCAUGUCGUGGAGAUGGUGCCUCCAGACCUCUAGGGAGUACACCACCACUCAUAGUUCAAGGUCAUGAGUGACUUAGUCGACCUCGUACGUCUUUAGCUAUCUUAAAUCAUAUGUAAUAACUUCUCCCCAGAGUGUUGCACAGGUUCUGCUGCAGUGUUCCAUGAUUGCUUAGCUCGGUAGGAAGCAUGUGGGUUUGUUUUAUGCGACUAGACUUAUUCGGAUGGUAGGAUGUUCACUCGUCCUCCUGGGCAACCUUGAUCCGAUGUUCAUGGCAGGACUCGUACUUGGUUUAUCCAUCAUUAACUUGCACAUAUAGGUCGUAUAUACUUAAGGGUGGCUUUAAUUUUGUUGUCAAAAAAGAGACUAAUUAAGUAUAUGGGGAUUGAUUAUGUAAAGCAAUGAUUCUUGUAGUGUGGGUCAAUGAUCCAUGAUUAUUUCGGUGGGCUAAUCCAAUGAGAUAAUCCAUGGAUAGUCCAUGGAGGUUAAAUCCAUAGAUAUUCCAUGGAGGUUGAAUCCAUGGAGCAUGAGAAUGUGGAAAGCUAUGGGUCAUUAGGGUUUACAAAGUGUAACCCUAACAUGUGCAACACUAUAAAUAGAACCCCCCAUGGACGAAAAUCAGUUGCCACAUCUAUUGAGAUAAGUAACUUAUUCUCGUAAAACCUCAUCUUGCAUAUUGCUGUUUGUGAACUAACAGAGGUAUCACACUUGGGGUGCUCAAGCUUUCAAAGGUCAAGAAAUCUACCCUACUCAAGAGGUAAGCAUUGAAGCUAACUUUUUAUUAUAUAGCUUCAAUUGUCUGCUAGCUAGGUUGAAUGCUUUGGAAAAACAAAAUGCAUGUAUAAUUAGAGAAAACAUAGAUCCAAAGCAUUUACGGUUGCAUGUGCACCAUAGAGUGUUAUAGUGCUCAAAACCCAACAUUUCAUUCACACACUUUUAUGAUAUUUCAGGGACUUUUGGGGUAGGAUCUUACUUGAGGAGGUAAAUAAGAGAUGUGGACAAAAUUUCGGGACUUGCAGAGCACCGGGGAUGAAGAUAUCAAGGAAUUGAAGAUUUUGGCUUUUUAGAGAAUUACGCGGUCGUGUGAAUGGAACUGUAACAUUCCAAAAUUCGAGGCCAAAAAUUUCACUUUUGAUUAGGUGAUUUUUAAAAGGGUUCAUGAAAACAUUGCCAAAAUCAUGUCAAUUUAUAAAACCAUAAUUUUCAAAACCAAAUCAUCUGAAAUAACAAAAUAUCAGAGUACAAUCCCAGAAAACACUAAGCGGAAAUCAUAAGUGUGUGUGUGUGUUUGAUGCACUGCUAUACAGUCGGAACCUUCCCCUUGGAUGAAGUGGUACCCAAAACCAAAACUGAAACUAUAAGCACAAAGCAUAGUGAGUUCCCCCAUCAUAGCACAUACCAUACAAUCACAUAGCAUACAUACUACCGGCUAAUUCUGGGGUGCCCGUCCUACCCAUGUCAAGCCAUUCUAGGGUCUUGACAUACCCAUGUCAAGCCAUUCCGGGGUGCUGACCUACCCAGUUCGAGCUAUUCUGGGGUGCUGACCUACCUUCCGAUCUAUCUCAACCAAACACGGGGACUAUUUCACCCCUACUACUAACACAUAACAUCAUAUCAUAAUCAUGCUGUCAGACAUAUCUGGGGUGUCCAACCUACCCAUUGGUCCUAAAGACUGAAUCAGGGACUAGUCCCCUUCUACUGACACUAUCUCAUAUAACAUGGCAAUUAGCAAACUAGCAUACUCACAUAUCUAGCAGUCUAGCAUGCUCACAUAUCCAACAAUCAGACCGAACAGUUAUCAUAAAGAUAAGCAUCCCAACUAACAAUUACUAGUGGGCCGACCUUGGUGCCUUAGAUCCUCUCCUACUGGAAGGUAACUCGCCUCGAUGUUGUGUAGUGUCUGAACUGUCCUCGAUGUGAAGGUCGGCUCUCCUCAACUCCUCAAUCCCUAUACUAAAACCCUCAAUUCAUCAAGCCGAACAUAUAACCCUAACCAGGGUCAAUACCAAAACCAAACAGAGUCAACAUUGGUCGAAGUCAACACCUAGUUGACCUGACUCACCGAGUUAGUCUACCAACUCGUCGAGUCCAUACUCCACUAACUCGAUCCAACCCCAACACCACUCGUUGAGUCUAGCAAGAAUUGUCGAGUUCUCCUUCAUUCAAACCAUCAGGACCAUCUUCAUCUGACUCGCCGAGCUCAUCCUAGAACUCGGCGAGUUCAUCUACCUCAUAAGAACAUGUCCAGUCUACUACUCGCCGACUUGUAUGCAAAACUCGUCGAGUCCAUCUUCAAAGAUUGGGAGAUUGGCUUGGACUCGCCGAGUCUGUUCAUACACUCAUCGAGUGCCAUGAUUCCUAUGUCCAUUUUUGUAUCUAAACAUCUACAAAGACUUUCCUCCCUAACAACUGGUCCAUCCAUAGAAAGGAUUUGGCGGUCAUUACACCGCGACUCGCCGAGUCCCAAGAACAACUCGGCGAGUCCAUCCUUGACCAACACUAUACAGUCGAUCUGGAUGAGCCUUAACAUCUCAAACCCAUAGAUCUAGCACCCUAAUGUCCAUUUCAUACGUAAAGCUCCAAACUUGAUGCACAUUCAUUGGGGCUUUGGCUCAAAAAUCCAUAAAAGGUGCUCUACAAGAUGCAUGGGGCUUUGAUGGCCAUAAAGUUGGCACCUUUAUGCCAUGAGACCCUUCCAAUGACUCAGAUAUGAAGUCAAGACCCCAAAUAACACUCCAUAAAUCCGACCAUGGCUUGGAAAGCCCUAAAUGUGACCAAAACCCAAGUCUAAAGAUGAAUAAACACAUAGAAGACCAAAACAGGGGCAUUUUACCUUGCUUGUGCUGAAAAUGGAACUAGAUAUUUGAAUCUCUAAGCCCCAAGUCGAACUCUCAAGCUUCUUUCUUCAUCUUUAAGCUUCACAAACCACCACAUGCACCAAAAUGGCCUUAGCACACUAAAAAACGGCUUGGGUUACAAUACACAACUUUCUGGGAGUGAUAAGGGCAAUGGAGGCUGAGAUAAGGUGUUUAAAUAGGGUGCAAACCCUCAGAUUUAGGGUUUCACUCAACCAACACCUACUCGCCAAAUCAGUCCCCCGACUCGUCGAGUAGGUUACUUAAACUGUUCGUGGGUCACGACUCUACUCGACGAGUGGGGCCUUCAACUCAUUGAGUCCCAGAGAAAAAAACAAAAUACUUGAAUAAUAGGCAUAUUAGGAAUCAGGUGUUACAAAUCUCCCCCACUUAUCUUAGACUUCGUCCUCGAAGUUUGCUACUCGAUCCUGAAAAAGUUCGGGGUAAUGCUCCCUUAUCUUGUCCUCCGGCUCCCAGGUCCAUUCAGAGGCCUUGAGGUGCUGCUAUUGCACCUUUACCAGCUCCACCCUCUUGUUUCUCAGAUCCCUUGACUUCUUGUCAAGGAUUGCCAUUGGACUCUCGAUGUAGUUCAAGUUGUCAUCAACCUGAAUAUCCUCUAGAGGCACUACUGCUGAAUUGUCCACCAGACAUUUCCGCAACUGGGAGACAUGAAAAGUGCUAUGAAUACGACUGAGUUCGACUGGCAGAUCCAGCCUAUAUGCUACCUUUCCCACUCGGGCCGUAACCCUAAAUGGUCCAGUAUACUUGGGGCCCAACUUGCCCUGCUUCUUGAACCGAAUGACACCCUUCCAUGGCGACUGUCACACCCCCAAACCAAGGAUGCCGGAAAUGGCUGGGGGUGGAGGACUUCAUGUAGUAUCACAACAACGAGUAUAAUAGUGCUCAAAGUAAUUACAACCAUCAUAAAUAUAAUUUAAAAAGUUACACCAAUGUAUAUGUGUACGAGUAUAAUAGUGCUCAAAGUAAUUCAACAUCCCAUCCUCAAAAUGCUGUUGGUUUUCCUGUUUCACUGAUUUCCUGAGAAUACAAGUUGUUUGUAAAGUGUCAACACAAAGGUUGGUGAGUUCAUAAGAGAUUUCGUUAGAGAAGUAAACCGUUUUCCUUGUAAAAGCGAUAGAGUAUUUAUCCAGAAAAUCCAAUAUUUUCUUUAUAAAAGUUAUGUGGUCCUAAAUCCCAGGACCAAGAAAUAACAAGUAUUUGCCAUACUUAAUGAUAUAAAAGUGGUUUUAAAUCGGCAUAAAACCCUUUUUGAUUUGAAGGAAAGUCCCGUAACAAAUGAUGUGAAGUCUUAAAUACCAAGACCGAAAGUGUACAGCAAUAUCCAUACUUAUUGAUAUAAACAAUGAUUUUAAAUCGACAUAAAACCCCAUUUGAUUUAUAAAGAGUCCCAGAAACUUUAUGUGUUGUUAGCUCCCUAUGUGAGUCGCUAUAACCAUAUUAUGACUAGAGGUAACCCGCACAACGUCUUUCAGACGCCCUGAUCCUAUGACUCUUGUCACCCGCAGACCUGCCGGUCCGGCUGUAGCUAGCAGCGAGGUGUGGGAUGUCAACCCUAAUAUAGAUCUAUACACAAUUAUCACGCUUUCCCUACACGAGAUUUUGGUUAUAACUUUCAGGAAUUUGGAUCCCGUACUUGGACGUACGGGGAGAGAAUGUCUUACAACCUGAGUUAACAAGUUUACGUGUAGUGUGCGUGAGUGUAGAACCUUUUUGUACAAAUGUACCCUUUUUGUAUGAGUAUGUUAUGUGAUGUAUCAUAAACUAUACCUAUUAUAGUUUAUUAAAACAAGGGUGAAAGUGGUAAUAUACCUAAACUAUACAUAACUUAGUUUAUUCAAAUGUUUGUAUGUAAUAGAUGUACUUUGAUUAUAACAAAUUGUUAUUUCUAUGCUUUGUCUAGAAAAGUCCAUUUGUUAACUGAUGUAUGUCUACAUAAUAAGGCAAUAUUGCCAUAUAUUGCGAUAACAUAUAAUCACAUAAAGAUAUACACCUUGCUCAACAUGCUACAAGGUGAAAUGAAAUUGAUUGCAUUUUUCUGUUGUUAACAUUUUGAUUUGAUGUUCUUAGAAAACUUAUAGAAAAAUCACCAUAGGUUUAAAACAGAAUCCAAAAAUUGUGAGAGUUUAGAAAAUGAGUCUAGUUUCUCCAUAAUUUUUAUCAUGAUUUUUAAUGACCUCUAACUUGUGUGAACAAGUCCAUAAUCACAGACUGGUCCGGAUUGAUGUUUUGAAAUGAUAGGUUGUUUUGUAAAAAUCACCAUAAAUUGUAGAAAAAUCGUAUGGAGAUGUGAAUGUAGUCAUUUUAAAGGUAAGAACGUGAAAUAUUUUCACAUAAUACAGUUUUGAAAACAAAAAUGUUUAGGUUGUCCAAAAGAGUCUGUGAUAGGAGUCCAGCUUUUCUGAUGAAGGUUGUUAGAAAAGUUUAGUUAUGUUCUUGGUGUUUUAACCUGUAUUCCCCCCCCCCUAAAAUCUUGAGAAAACAUGAAAAUGUAGGGGCAUGAACUCACCUUAUGUGAUUUCAGUAGAUUAAUGUUGGAGAAAGGAAGUGUUUAACUCAAGAACACUUGAAGAUGCCUUCAAGAUUUUCGAGAAUCUAAGAUCAAAGUGAUGGAGUUUGUGUAAGCAAUCGAUGAUUUGAGUAGAAUGAAGUGUAAUAAUCACAAGGAGGAUGAAUUAUACUUACAAGAGUAUUAUAAAGCUUGAUGAUUAGCCUUGGAGUCUCGAAAUCAAGAGAAAAAUUUGAGAGAAAAGUGUUUGAUCUUUUGGGGGAAAAUGAGAGAAUGAAUGAAGUGUGAGGAGAGAGGAUGGAUGUUCCAUCUAUAAGAACGUGGGAAAUGGCUGGAAAUUAUAAUAAAUUACUUUGACAUGAGCUAGGUAUGGUGUAAGGAGUGUGGCUGGUCAUGGAGUGGGUGUGGGUCGUUGCUUGUGUCAUAAACUAAAGAAAAGUCAACACUCCACCUCUUGUACUUCACCCACUCUUCUUGGAUAAGAUUUAUCUCCAAAAAGGUGAUUAAUUAAUAAAUAUGGAGCUUUAUAUGCUAAAAUAAAGUUUUGGGUGAAAAUCCCACGUUAAAACAUUUAAAAACGGGCCUAAAACGCAAAACUAGUCGAAAACCGGGUGAAAAAGAGCUUCCUGCAAGGCCUCUCGGUCCGAGGCCGAGGUUCUGUCCGAAGGGCCCUUCGGUUCUUGAGAGGGUUCGGUCUGAGAAGGUGCAUUUCGCUUCUGAUGUCAUCGCUUUUGAUGCCUCCGCUUCUGACAUGUUCUUCUUCUGACAAGUUCGCUUCUGAUUGCUUCGCUUCUGACAAGUUUGCUUCUGAUGCCUUCGCUUCUGAUGUGUUCGCUUCUGAUGCCUUCGCUUCUGAUAAGUUCGGUUCCAAAGAGGGGUUUCGGGUCCUUAAGAGGGUUCGGCUCCUUAAGAGGGGUUUCGGGUCCUUAAGUCUAUUUUAUCCGUUUUUACCCCGUUUUAAGUGGUUUUUGAC